AGCCCGAUGAUGUAGCGGUCAAUCAUCUGGGACUCUGGAUCCCAGUACCUCGGUUCGAAUCCGAGUCGGGCUA
rnacentral:tRNA from 1 species